rnacentral:lncRNA from 1 species
UGAGAUGUGGAGUGAGGAGUCCCAGAUCAAGGCCCCCCAUGGUUGCUCUUUUCUCUGAAAAGAGAUUUAUGCUCGUGGGCCUACUGUUUUGGCUCAAGUUAGAUGGCUAAUUGGGGAUGGGAUGUCGAUGGUUGUGAGUCAGGAUGCUUGGAUCUCUAGCCUUUUAUUAUCUCGAUGGUCGAUCUAAACUAGCAGUGAGAUGGAUGAUCAUCGC